UAGGGAAUCUUCCACAAUGGACGCAAGUCUGGUGGAGCAACGCCGCGUGAGUGAAGAAGGUCUUCGGAUCGUAAAACUCUGUUGUUAGAGAAGAACACGAGUGAGAGUAACUGUUCAUUCGAUGACGGUAUCUAACCAGCAAGUCACGGCUAACUACGUGACAG
rnacentral:rRNA from 1 species